UACGAAGGGUGCAAGCGUUAAUCGGAAUUACUGGGCGUAAAGCGUGCGUAGACGGCACACUAAGUCAGCUGUGAAACCCCCGGGCUCAACCUGGGACCUGCAGCUGAUACUGGUGAGCUUGGAGUUUGAGAGAGGGUGGUGGAAUUCCUGGUGUAGCGGUGAAAUGCGUAGAGAUCAGGAGGAACACUAGUGGCGAAGGCGGCCACCUGGCUUAAAACUGACGUUGAGGCACGAAAGCGUGGGGAGCAAACAGGAUUAGAUACCCUGGUAGUCCACGCCCUAAACGAUGAUCACUGGACGUUGGGAGGAAUUAGCCUCUUAGUGUCGAAGCUAACGCGUGAAGUGAUCCGCCUGGGGAGUACGCUCGCAAGAGUG
rnacentral:rRNA from 1 species